rnacentral:miRNA from 1 species
GUUUGGAGGUCCUGGGGUCUGGGAGAUCCCAGAUGAGCCCCCAGAUGUAAUACCACAUUUAUGGUACCCCAGUAGACCUCCAGGAGCUGAAUCCUAUGCAAUCACACAAGAGUCU